UACGGAGGGUGCGAACGUUAAUCGGAAUCACUGGGCGUAAAGCGCGCGUAGGCGGUCUGUUAAGUGGGAUGUGAAAUCCCCGGGCUUAACCUGGGAAUUGCAUUUCAAACUGGCCGACUAGAGUACGGUAGAAGGAGGUAGAAUUUCCUGUGUAGCGGUGAAAUGCGUAGAUAUAGGAAGGAAUACCAGUGGCGAAGGCGGCCUCCUGGAUCGAUACUGACGCUGAGGCGCGAAAGCGUGGGGAGCAAACAGG
rnacentral:rRNA from 1 species